UCAACAUGAUGGACAAGAGGUUAGAAUACACCCCCUGGGCAGUACUACAGUCACUCACCGUUGCCUGUUGAGGUAAAAAGUGGUGAACCUGUUAUGAGACAGGCUGUGCUGUGACUGUCUGCUUAGUAUCAGGAGUUAGGAGCACAGGGCUGUACUACAAAGCGACAUCAGUGGGUUAUCGAGGCUCCUUCCCCUGCCUGUCUGUUCCUCACCUGCUUCUGCUGCCCUGGAAACUGAUUCCUGUGCCUUCAUCUUGCCAGAUGCUCAGACACUAUUGUUAAGAAUGUUUUGUCUGACAUUUAUAAAAUAGGGAUAAUCACGUUUUUUCAGUCAAGCUGAAACAUUUUCAGCUUAUGUAUACAAUCUUAGUUUGUUUCAUGUUUGAAUUUGAGCUAAUAAUCAAACAUAACUGACACCUGAUGUGAGAUUUUUUUUUCAGUGUUGUGUUAAAAAAAAGUCUUGAGACAGUCCAAAGGAGCAAGAUACAGCAUACUGUGCUUUUUUGAACUUUAUUGAUCACAUCUUGUUUCCACAACUCCAACAACUUCUUCCCAGAGUUACAGUUUGGUCAAAUCUGACAUCAUAUUGUUAUGAAACUGUUGUUUCCACUGAUAGUGCUGUCUGUGGUAAAUCAUAAAUCCAAAAAUUAGAUGUUUCUCAUGA